rnacentral:sRNA from 1 species
UUGUCAGAGCAGGUUUCUGGCGGUAAAGGAGAUUCCAGGAUGAUGCAUGAGGAUGAUCAGUAGGAGAAGGUCCGGUGAAUCAAAAGUCACUUGCCAAAGUUGCCUCAUAAAUUAAUAUUCUUUUGAUGGACCCAUCAGGGAGAUCUCACAAAUGCAAAAGCAGAUAAAGAAGAUGAGAAGAAGAAGAAGAUUGUGGCCUCAAGUAAUCGGG